rnacentral:miRNA from 1 species
GCCCUGAUGACACCUUGAUUUUGGACUUCUAGCCUCCAGAACUAUGAAAGAAUACAUUUCUUCUUUUUUAAACCACC